rnacentral:lncRNA from 1 species
AUGCGCACGCACGCACGCACGCACACACACACACACACACACACACGUGCCCGCGCACACGUGCGCAGCAGGGUGACUGUGGUGAUCCCCCGUCAGCCCUGGUCCCCCUCAGCGCCUCUGGGCCGGAUGAGGCAAGACACCCAAGGAGGGUCCCUGAACGUCUCCGAGGUUACAGCGUGCAGGGGGUUGCCACGCCGGUCCCCGCCAGCCCUCCCCUCCUUCAUGCCCUGGGACAGACCCGGGCCUCCCACGGCCGGCCAGCCCCCGAGUCCCCCGUGGCUUGUACAUAUGUGCUUUAGGGGGGCCCGCCCCCCUUCAGAGGGCGGGCGGUCUGCCUGGGCCUCCCUCACCUGAGCGCAGGCUCUGCAGGUGGCGUGCCUCCGUGCUGGGGCCACCUUUCCUGGGCGGGAAUACACUGCUCAGACAUGGGGACGGGGUCCCCCUCACGCCCCCAGCCCCACCUUGACGUCAGGACCCCUGCACCAUGAUGACCUCCCACCCGGUCACCUGUCCCCUCCGGGGCAGCGGGGAUGGGGCGA